rnacentral:lncRNA from 1 species
GAAAAGAACGGCCCAUCUCUCUUGAUCCCACAUCCUGAAGAGAAUCCGGUGUUUGCCCCAUCCAAGCAGCUGCACGGGAGGCAGGGGGGGCACGGCGGAGAAUUUUAGCCCGGACCAGGCAAAGUUUGAUAGAAGACUCUCAGGGACAGACUUAGGCUUUCCUCCGCUUGGGCUUGGGGGCUAAGUAUCCAGAUCAUUCUUCAGCCAGAUGGAGGUGCUCAAAGUCUAAAAGGAAGCUGCAGUCUCCCCUGGCUUCUCCAGACCCUCGGGUAGCAGCGAUGUAGAC